rnacentral:misc_RNA from 1 species
GUGGAGUGCGAGGCUUGAGGGUGGUCAAGUAUAUGGGAAGAAGGUGGGGUAAAGGAUCUGUGAUCCUAGUAUCUUGAGGGAGAUGGGUUUGCUGUUGAUUGUAAAUGGGUGUGAUGUUGUGGCAAUCUCAGCUGGCGGUAGUGAGAAUAAUUUCAAUGGAUUUCAGGUAAGUUGCAAAGGACAAUCUGUGAGGGAUAAACCAACAUGUGUCUUUG